UACGGGGGGAGCAAGCGUUGUUCGGAUUUACUGGGCGUAAAGGGCGCGUAGGCGGCCACCGCAAGUCGACUGUGAAAUCUCCGGGCUUAACUCGGAAAGGUCAGCCGAUACUGCGGGGCUAGAGUGCAGAAGGGGCAACUGGAAUUCUCGGUGUAGCGGUGAAAUGCGUAGAUAUCAAGAGGAACACCUGAGGUGAAGACGGGUUGCUGGGCUGACACUGACGCUGAGGCGCGAAAGCCAGGGGAGCAAACGGG
rnacentral:rRNA from 1 species